UGAGUUUGAUCCUGGCUCAGAAUGAACGCUGGCGGCGUGCUUAAUACAUGCAAGUCGAACGGAAUCCAAGGAGCUUGCUCCGAAAGAUUUAGUGGCGAACGGGUGAGUAACACGUGAGCAACCUGCCCCGAAGAUUGGGAUAACACCGGGAAACCGGUGCUAAUACCGAAUACCUUCCACUGAUCGCAUGAUCGGUGGAAGAAAUGUUUUUUCGCUUCGGGAGGGGCUCGCGGUCCAUCAGCUUGUUGGCGGGGUAACGGCCCACCAAGGCAACGACGGAUAGCUGGUCUGAGAGGACGAUCAGCCACACUGGAACUGAGACACGGUCCAGACUCCUACGGGAGGCAGCAGUAGGGAAUCUUGCGCAAUGGGCGAAAGCCUGACGCAGCAACGCCGCGUGAGGGACGAAGGCUUUCUGAGUUGUAAACCUCUUUCGACAGGAACGAUUGUGACGGUACCUGUAGAAGAAGCACCGGCCAACUAUGUGCCAGCAGCCGCGGUGAUACAUAGGGUGCAAGCGUUAUUCGGAUUUAUUGGGCGUAAAGAGCUCGUAGGCGGUUCGAUAAGUCGGGUGUUAAACCCCCAGGCUCAACCUGGGGCCGCCACCCGAAACUGUCGUGACUAGAGUUUGGUAGGGGAUCACGGAAUUCCUGGUGUAGCGGUGGAAUGCGCAGAUAUCAGGAGGAACACCAGUAGCGAAAGCGUGAUCUGGGCCAAUACUGACGCUGAGGAGCGAAAGCGUGGGGAGCGAACAGGAUUAGAUACCCUGGUAGUCCACGCCGUAAACGGUGGGCACUAGUGUGGGGACUUUUCAACGGUUUCCGCGCCGCAGCUAACGCAUUAAGUGCCCCGCCUGGGGAGUACGGCCGCAAGGCUAAAACUCAAAGAAAUGACGGGGGCCCGCACAAGCAGCGGAGCAUGUGGCUUAAUUCGAUGCAACGCGAAAAACCUUACCUAGAUUUGACAUGCUGGGAAAAGCCGUAGAGAUACGGUGUCCUUCGGGGCCCAGCACAGGUGGUGCAUGGCUGUCGUCAGCUCGUGUCGUGAGAUGUUGGGUUAAGUCCCGCAACGAGCGCAACCCUUGUUCUAUGUUGCCAGCACGUAAUGGUGGGGACUCGUAGAAGACUGCCGGGGUUAACUCGGAGGAAGGCGGGGACGAGGUCAAGUCAUCAUGCCCCUUACGUCUAGGGCUGCACACAUGCUACAAUGGGCGGUACAGAGGGCUGCUAAACCGCGAGGUGGAGCCAAUCCCUAAAACCGCUCUCAGUUCAGAUUGCAGGCUGCAACUCGCCUGCAUGAAGUUGGAGUUGCUAGUAAUCCCGGAUCAGCAUUGCCGGGGUGAAUACGUUCCCGGGCCUUGUACACACCGCCCGUCAAACCACGAAAGUCGGCAACACCCGAAGCCGGUGGCCUAACCGCAAGGAAGGAGCCGUCGAAGGUGGGGUCGGUGAUUGGGGUUAAGUCGUAACAAGGUAGCCGUACCGGAAGGUGCGGCUGGAUCACCUCCUUUCU
rnacentral:rRNA from 1 species